GACGAACGCUGGCGGCGUGCCUAAUACAUGCAAGUAGAACGCACAGUUUAUACCGUAGCUUGCUACACCAUAGACUGUGAGUUGCGGACGGGAUAGUAACGCGUAGGUAACCUGCCUAGUAGCGGGGGCUAACUAUUGGAAACGAUAGCUAAUACCGCAUAAUAUUAAUUAUUGCAUGACAAUUAAUUGAAAGGUGCAAUUGCACCACUACCAGAUGGACCUGCGUUGUAUUAGCUAGUAGGAGAGGUAACGGCUCACCUAGGCGACGAUACAUAGCCGACCUGAGAGGGUGAUCGGCCACACUGGGACUGGGACACGGCCCAGACUCCUACGGGGAGCAGCAGUAGGGAAUCUUCGGCAAUGGACGAAAGUCUGACCGAGGAACGCCGCGUGAGGGAAGGAGGGUUUCGGAUCGUAAAGCUCUGUUGUAAGAGAAGAACGGGUGUGAGAGUGGAAAGUUCACACUGUGACGGUAUCUAACCAGAAAGGGACGGCUAACUACGUG
rnacentral:rRNA from 1 species